UGUGUACCAGCAAAAUUUAGCUACAUCAAAGUACUUUCAAAAUAUUUACAGUGUUGGACUGAGAUUGUGGCUCUGUGGUGGAGCAUUUGCCUUGUGUGCUUGAGGCACUGUGCUCAAUCCUCAGCACCACAUACAAAACUAAAUUAAAAAAUAAUUAUAAAAAAUACACUUUUAAAACACUUUACAACGUAGAACAGCAGCGGAAGACUAUAUUUUGUCGCAGUCUGCAUGAGAGUUCAUGAAAUCAAAUGAGGGGCGAUGGGGGAUUAGAAAAGACAGACACACAAGUAAAAACUAUGGGACCCAGUGGAUAUUACAGUCUGGAGGAGUGCAGUGACCAUGAGCCAGCUCAGUACAUUUAUUAUAUAGGUUAUAUCAUUGAGGGAUAUAUUCAAGAGAAAAUUUCUUCAAGCCGAAUGAAGGACAUAGGUAUGAGCAUUUUAUUAUUAUUAUUAUUAUUAUUAUUAUUAUUAUUAUUAGCUUGUGCCCAUAAUUUUCUACCCCCAGGAAGCUGGCAUGGGAAUUUCAAGGUCAAGAACUUGACAGCUCCAUAGCUUCCUUUUGAGCAGGGUACCACCAUAGCAACGGGGCAAUCUUAAACAGUAGUUUAGCACUGAAUGUUCCUGGGUGAGGCAUCACCUCUGGCACAGGACGUUGAAGAACUGUAAUUCAGUCACCUCUCCUGAAAUCUCCCCCCUUUUUAAUGUUUUCAGUGCAAGUGAUGUGCUAUCAUUUGAUGUUCUCAGAUUUCUUCUCCGAAGACACAGCAUCCUACUGUUAUAACAAAAGAGAAUUAGUAGUAAAACAUGAUGCCAAAAAGUGACAUAUGGAAUGUUUUAACAUAUCUUCAGGAUUGAAUCAUUUAAAUCAUUAAGUAUUUGUUCAGCAAGCCAUGCAGGAUCCACAAGAUCAUUCCUGCUUUCCUGAAUAUCCUGAGUGAUAUGUUUUUUAUAACUCUAUAAGAUCCAGACUGUCAUCAUUUCUCUGACCAAUUUCUCUGACCAAUGUCCAUUAAAAGAUUUUUAACUUUUUCCCAAUCCCAUAGGGAAGUGUAAUUUGCAGCUGCAACACAUUUAUAGCCAGUAGGGCAAUAAAGCCUUUGUCUAAAUUUAAGUGUGGCAUAUACUAUAUUUUUGCGGUAGCUUACAAAGCAUUUCAUUUAAUCUUUAGCUUUUCAUCAAAGUUUUCCUGAUUUUGUAGGACUUUGGAAGUAUUUGGGGUAAAUUAAGAAAAUGAGCAUUUUUGAAUGCUUUUGGAUAACAAUAUCACAAUGUCAUGGCAGAGACAAACAGAUCGAUGCCCCAACAGAAAAGGACGAUCAGGCAUAUACUCUAAUCCAUGCUGUCCCUUUUUGAGAGGAUUGUGCACAGGUCUUGCUAUGUGUCCCAGGCUGGUGUCAAACUCCUGGGUUCAAGCAAUCCUCGUGCCUCAACCUCCCAAGUAGGUGGGACUAUAGGUAUACAUCUCCAUGUCUCACUAGAGAGCAUUCUUAAGUGAAAAUGAUGAUUUUUUUUUCCUGUGAUUGCCUGGCAAAAGAAUAUGACAACCAGCACAGUUGGAUAACUCACUACCACGGGUGCUCAGAGCCGGCAGUUUGACCCGUCAUUGUUUUUGUGUCAUCGCGGUCAAUGGCACAAAAGCCAUCUCAGUAUCAUUGAACAGAAUAUGUGUCCAGACCUCUUAUGGACUAAAGUAAUCUGUAGUGUUUAAUAUGAAAGAAUCUCAGUGUCAGUCUUCAAUACACCUUCAAUCAAUUUGUGGAUUAGUUGAAUGCAGAAAACAAGGAGUCUUAUCUGGAAGAAUGAUUACUUACAAAGUAGUUAGAAGACUUCAAAGUAUAUAUCUGUUAAUUUUGCAAAAAGCAAAGCCAUGACAAGUUUGCCACAUUCCAAUUUUCCAACUGAUUUUCAUUAUCUCUUAUUUACCCAUCAUAAUAGACACAGGAGAAAGGUACAAACAGUGUGCAGUUAAGAAGAAGUUUUGUUCCCACAGACAAACCUACUUCCCAUUUCAUAACUUUUUAAAUAAUAUAAAAUCAGAUUUUCUCAGGAUCAAUCAUUUUAAUACCCUGAAAAGAGGAUUUUAUGAAACAAUUCUUUGAGGCACUUGCUGAAAACUGAGAUUUUUGUCAUUAGUUAUACAAAAUAAUCCUGCUCUUAAGGAAAAACAAACCUCCCAUAAGAACUUGAAAUGAAAAUAUUUAUUGUACACUUAUUAUUUGUCAGACAUGUUGAUUGUAUCACUCAUUUAAUCCUGCCAACAAAUCUCCAACAUAGAUAUUAGUAUCUCCAUUUGAAUAAAAAGGAACUGAAAAUUUGAAAGAAUAAAAAAACUUUU